rnacentral:rRNA from 1 species
ACUACGGGAGGCAGCAGUGAGGAAUAUUGGUCAAUGGUCGGGAGACUGAACCAGCCAAGCCGCGUGAGGGAUGAAGGUACAGAGUAUCGUAAACCUCUUUUGUCAGGGAACAAAGGCGGGGACGUGUCCCCGGAUGAGUGUACCUGAAGAAAAAGCAUCGGCUAACUCCGUGCCAGCAGCCGCGGUAAUAGGGAGGAUGCGAGCGUUAUCCGGAUUUAUUGGGUUGAAAGGGUGCGCGGGCGGUCUGUGAAGUGAGCGGUCAUAGGCCGGGGCUCAACCCCGGGCCGCCGUUGAAACUGGCAGUCUCGAGUUGGAGAGAAGUAUGCGGAAUGCGCGGUGUAGCGGUGAAAUGCAUAGAUAUCGCGCAGAACUCCGAUUGCGAAGGCAGCAUGCCGGCUCCACACUGACGCUGAGGCACGAAAGCGUGGGUAUCGAACAGGAUUAGAUACCCCAGUAGUC